GUGCUUGCUUCAGCAGCACAUAUACUAAAAUUGGAACAAUACAGAGAAGAUCAGCAUGGCCCCUGUAAAGAUGACACACACAUUCUUGAAGCGUUCCAUAUUUUG
ensembl:snRNA U6 U6 spliceosomal RNA